rnacentral:rRNA from 1 species
GACGAACGCUGGCGGCGUGCUUAACACAUGCAAGUCGAACGCUGAAGCUCAGCUUUUGUUGGGUGGAUGAGUGGCGAACGGGCGAGUAACACGUGAGUAACCUGCCCCCUUCUUUGGGAUAACGCCCGGAAACGGGUGCUAAUACUGGAUAUUCACUGGUCUUCGCAUGGGGGUUGGUGGAAAGGGUUUUUCUGGUGGGGGAUGGGCUCGCGGCCUAUCAGCUUGUUGGUGGGGUGAUGGCCUACCAAGGCUUUGACGGGUAGCCGGCCUGAGAGGGUGACCGGUCACAUUGGGACUGAGAUACGGCCCAGACUCCUACGGGAGGCAGCAGUGGGGAAUAUUGCACAAUGGGCGCAAGCCUGAUGCAGCGAUGCCGCGUGAGGGAUGGAGGCCUUCGGGUUGUGAACCUCUUUCGCUCAUGGUCAAGCCGCAACAAUGGUUGUGGUGAGGGUAGUGGGUAAAGAAGCGCCGGCUAACUACGUG